CCUACGGGUGGCAGCAGUGGGGAAUAUUGCACAAUGGGGGAAACCCUGAUGCAGCGACGCCGCGGGAGGGAAGAAGUAUCUCGGGACGUAAAGCUCUAUCAGCAGGGACGAAAAUGACGGUACCUGACAGAGAAACCCCAGCUAACUACGUGCCAGCAGCCGCGGUAAUACGUAGGGGGCAAGCGUUAUCCGGAUUGACUGGGGGUAAAGGGAGCGUAGACGGCAGCACACGUCUGGUGUGAAAUCCCGGGGCUUAACCCCGGGACUGCAUUGGAAACUGUGCGGCUGGAGUGCAGGAGGGGUAAGCGGAAUUCCGGGUGUAGCGGUGAAAUGCGUAGAUAUUAGGAGGAACACCGGUGGCGAAGGCGGCUUACUGGACUGUAACUGACGUUGAGGCGCGAAAGCGUGGGGAGCAAACAGGAUUAGAUACCCUUGUAGUC
rnacentral:rRNA from 1 species